rnacentral:rRNA from 1 species
UACGUAGGGCGCAAGCGUUGUCCGGAAUUAUUGGGCGUAAAGAGCUCGUAGGCGGCUUGUCACGUCGGGUGUGAAAGCCCGGGGCUUAACCCCGGGUCUGCAUUCGAUACGGGCAGGCUAGAGUGUGGUAGGGGAGAUCGGAAUUCCUGGUGUAGCGGUGAAAUGCGCAGAUAUCAGGAGGAACAUCGGUGGCGAAGGCGGAUCUCUGGGCCAUUACUGACGCUGAGGAGCGAAAGCGUGGGGAGCGAACAGG